CUUCGUGCUCGAAAGAGAGCCGUAACACAGGUGCUGCAUGGCUGUCGUCAGCUCGUGUCGUGAGAUGUUGGGUUAAGUCCCGCAACGAGCGCAACCCUUGUCAUUAGUUGCUACAUUCAGUUGGGCACUCUAAUGAGACUGCCGGUGACAAACCGGAGGAAGGUGGGGAUGACGUCAAGUCCUCAUGGCCCUUAUAGGUGGGGCUACACACGUCAUACAAUGGCUGGUACAAAGGGUUGCCAACCCGCGAGGGGGAGCUAAUCCCAUAAAACCAGUCGUAGUUCGGAUCGCAGUCUGCAACUCGACUGCGUGAAGUCGGAAUCGCUAGUAAUCGUGGAUCAGAAUGUCACGGUGAAUACGUUCCCGGGCCUU
rnacentral:rRNA from 1 species